rnacentral:rRNA from 1 species
GGAGGGUUUCAAGCGUUGUUCGGAAUCAUUGGGCGUAAAGCGCGUGUAGGCGGUUAUCUAAGUCUGGUGUGAAAGCCCGGGGCUUAACUCCGGAAGUGCACUGGAUACUGGAUAACUAGAGGACGAGAGAGGUGAGUGGAAUUCCUGGUGUAGGGGUGAAAUCCGUAGAUAUCAGGAGGAACAUCAGCGGCGAAGGCGGCUCACUGGCUCGUAACUGACGCUGAGACGCGAAAGCGUGGGGAGCAAACAGGGAUUAGAUACCCUGGUAGUCCACGCCCUAAACGAUGGAUACUAGUCGUCGGGAUUCCUAAUUGUCUCGGUGACGACGCUAACGCAUUAAGUAUCCCGCCUGGGGAUUACGGUCGCAAGACUA